UGUACGUGGCUACAGGCUUGUUCCUGCCUCAUCUUUGGCAGGCCCCAAACAGACUAUGAAGCUGGUUUGCUCCUUCCUUGUGUCUGGGGCUGUUCAGUGGGACCUGCUACCAGCACCUGGCUGUGUUUGGAUGCUUUGGGACUGUGACCCAGGUUGGCAAGGAUGCUGCCUGCACUGGGGCCACCCCUGGCUUGCCAUCACUACGAGAGCAGUAAGGCCUGGCUGCUCCCUGACACCUCUUCCAUAGCGGUCGGUGUAGGAAUCUAAAAAAACGAUGGGGACAGAUGGAUCCUAACUGACAUUAUUUGAAGUGUAACAGAAGCAGAACAAAGCGAGGAUACUGUGAGAAAAGAGACAGUCCACCCCAUUGUCUGCUCAUUUGUCAAGGCACGAGCCAAACCACUUCAUUUCCUCUCCAUCCGUGAUAAUAGUGAAGGUUCUGAGAUCUUCGCUGCUUUAAUUAUAGUGAAAUGUGCAAUUCCUUCACCAGCCAACAGACAGCAAGUCCCACCUCAUGCGGCAGUCAAGAACUACCUGCUCUUUCAUGGUGAGCAUUUACUGUGCUUGAUGAACUGGAGGAGCACGUGUUUGGAAAGCCAAGCCUGGGCCACAGGCCGCACACAAAAUUUGGGUCUUAGGGUGUGAAUACUGAGGCUGAUACCUUUCAUAGGCUGUGCCCUUGUGCUAGGAAGGUGACAGCAGCUAUCUUUUUUCCCUUUGUGCAAAUUUUCUGCAGUUUACAGGCAGGUUGCCAGAGUAAGUCCUCCAGUUGAAGUAGGUUGCAAAUAACAGCACUCUUGUUAGAAUAUGUAGCAAAUUGGUUUAUUCUAGUCCUUAAUCUACAUAAUUAGGGUGGAAAUGAGAGUAAUAAAUAUACUUAAGUGUUUGGAAAUGACUUUCUUCCUGAAGAUUUUUCACAGGAUGGAAAUUAGGAUUAAUUCUAGAGGAGGAGAACUGACCUUAAAAGGCCCAUUGUAAUUGACCUUAAAGCCACAAUUC